rnacentral:rRNA from 1 species
UACAGAGGCCUCGAGCGUUAGGCGGAAUCACUGGGCUUAAAGCGUGUGUAGGCGGAUUGGUAAGUACCUUGUGAAAAUCCCACAGCUUAACUGUGGAACUGCUCGGUAUACUGCUGAUCUUGAGCCACUCAGGGGCUACCGGAACAAUGGUGGAGCGGUGAAAUGCGUAGAUAAUCAUUUGGAAACGCCAAUGGUGAAAAACAGGUAGCUGGGG